AGAGUUUGAUCCUGGCUCAGGACGAACAUUGGCGGCGCGCCUAAUGCAUGCAAGUCGAGCGAACUCGUUUUCUUCGGAAAGCACAUAGUUAGCGGCGAACGGCCGAGUAACGCGUAAGUAACCUGCCUCGAAGAGGGGAAAAACUAUGAGAAAUCAUAGCUAAUUCCGCGUAAUGUCAGUUAAUUAAUUUAACUGAAGAAAGAUUUAUCGCUUUGAGAUGGGCUUGCGUCCUAUCAGGUAGUUGGUAAGGUAAUGGCUUACCAAGCCUAAGACGGGUAGCUGGAGUGAGAGCUUGACCAGCCAGAGGGGGACUGAGACACGGCCCCCACUCCUACGGGAGGCAGCAGCAGGGAAUCUUGCACAAUGGGCGAAAGCCUGAUGCAGCGACGCCGCGUGAGGGAUGAAGGUUCUAGGAUCGUAAACCUCUUUUCUUAGGGAAUAGUUUGGAAGGUACCUAAGGAAUAAGUCACGGCUAACUACGUGCCAGCAGCCGCGGUAAUACGUAGGUGGCAAAUGUUGUCCGGAAUCAUUGGGCGUAAAGGGUCCGUAGGUGGCAUGAAUAGUCUUAUGUGAAAUCUCUUGGCUCAACCAAGAAACGCCAUAAGAAACUUUCAUGCUAGAGAUCAUCAGAGGGAGGUAGAAUUCCAGGUGUAGUGGUGAAAUGCGUAGAUAUCUGGAGGAAUACCAAUGGCGAAAGCAGCCUCCUGGGGUGAAUCUGACAUUGAGGGACGAAAGCGUGGGUAGCAAACCGGAUUAGAUACCCGGGUAGUCCAUGCCGUAAACGAUGAAUACUGGGUCUUCGGGGAAUCGACCCCCUGUGGACCGAAGCUAACGCGUUAAGUAUUCCGCCUGGGGGGUACGGUCGCAAGACUAAAACUCAAAGGAAUUGACGGGGGCCCGCACAAGCAGCGGAGCGUGUGGUUUAAUUCGAUGGUAAACGAAGAACCUUACCUAGGUUUGACAUAUAAGUAGUACUG
rnacentral:rRNA from 1 species